rnacentral:rRNA from 1 species
AUGCGCUUCAAGAUAAUUUUAGCCAUUUGUGAGGCGUUGCAUUUCUUGCAUAUUGAGUUAAACAGGCCUAUCAGCCAUCUGCCUCUUACUCCUGAAAACAUAUUUUUAGACAAAAAUAUGGUACCAAAACUAGCAGAUAUUGGUCUAUCAGAUCUGUUUGACGGACUAUCCCUAGAAGGCACGGAAUAUGAUCUGGAAAUCAAUCGGUACAAGGCUCCAGAAUACAUAAAUAGAUACACUACUUCAUUCCAAUCAGACAUAUACAACUUAGGUCUCUUAAUCAUGGAUACCGCAACAGGGGAGAAACACAGCUCUUGUCAAGAAACCAUGGAUAGUAGCCAUUUUGUGAAUGUACAUCAAAAGUGGACAGACGAAUAUAUAGCAACAAAGUAUGCAUCACUGGAUGUCACUUGCAUUGGUCAGCUCAAAGUAUGUCUCCAUACUGCGCUAUGGUGUGUCAAGGAGAAAAGAAAGGACAGGCCAUCUAUACGGGAAAUAGUCAGUACACUGAACAUUCCAUAUCUAGACACCCCGUUAAACAAGGUAUGCACCCUUUCGCAAAAAAAAAAGCCAGGAGCCGGUCCCAUCUUAUUGUUGAGCGUGCAACCCCAGCGUCUCUCCUUCCCUCUCAUUCCCGCAAGGUUGACCUCCCGCCCACUGUGCCUAACAAACAACAAGGAUGAGUGUGUCGGCUUCAGGCUUCUCACGGAUAACCCAGCGAGGUACCAUACAGAGCUGCCGCUUUGCGGCUUUGUACCGCCAAAGUGCACCUACACUAUCAACGUGAUAGUGCGUGAGCACACGAAGGAGCUACCAUCGAAUAGCGAUGAGUUUCUGACCCUGCUGACCAUCAGAAUGCAAGAGAGUGAUUUCAAGAAUCUCGACCCAGACUCCGUCGCCGUCCUUUUUGAGAACGCCGAUCACGAGGUGCGGGAGAUGAUGCUGCCUGUUGUUUGUGACCCACCGGAAGAGACCACCGCUGAUCAGAUCAUAGCCAGUAAGAAUUGCCGAGUGGUGCUGUCUAUCGAUGUUCAUCCAACUAGCCAGAAUUACCGGCAGGUGUUGUCCUUGGAUGUGCAUCCAACGGUGCCUUGGAUGUUGACGACCAACCAAAGGGGUACUAUUUGCAUCUGGAACUACCGGAAGAUGGAAACUGUGAGCUCCUUUGAAGUUAGUCCAGGAAAACCAGUAUAUUCUGCAAAAUUUAUCGCUCAAGAGCAGUGGCUUGUAACUGGGGAUGGCGAUGGAUACAUUCAUGUGUACAAUUAUGGUAGAAUGGAAGAAGUCAGGAACUUCAAAGCUCAUGAGAAUAAUAUAAUGUCUAUGGCUGUGAGUCCAACUUUCUCUUUGGUUCUAUCAGCAUCUGACGAUCACCUGAUUAAGCUUUGGGACUGGGACAAGGGCUGGGAAUGUACGCAAACAUUUAGGGGGCACUGUAACAGAGUCACACAAGUGAUGUUUCACCCGCGGUACACAUAUUGUUUUGCGAGUGCUUCCCUGGAUGGCAGAGUCAAGAUAUGGAACAUCAAAUAUGAUAAUUGCAAACGCAAGUUCAAUGAGCAUCCAGAUGGUCUUCUAUGCCUUCAGUACUUCGCAGAUGUGCAACCUAACAGUCGUCGGCAUUUACUGGUUGUUGGCUCCUCCGAUGGUGUUGCAAAGGUCUGGGACCCGGAGGCAGAAAGUUGUGUUGGUACGCUCGAAGGUCGACAUACGAACCGUCUCACUGCUCUUUGUUGGCACCCCAAACAUGAAGUAUUAGUAACAGGUUCCCUUGAUGGGACCAUACAAAUCUGGAAGCCGACUAACACUACUUAUAGACUUGAGAACAUAAUUGGCCUUAACAUCGGCGGAGUUACCGCUCUUGCACACAUACCGGAAUCGACAAGGGUUGUGGUUGCAUGCGAGCAAGGAAUAGCAAUGGUGGAAAUUGAUUACCCGUGA